UACGGGAGGCAGCAGUGGGGAAUAUUGCACAAUGGGCGCAAGCCUGAUGCAGCCAUGCCGCGUGUAUGAAGAAGGCCUUCGGGUUGUAAAGUACUUUCAGCGGGGAGGAAGGCGAUGUGGUUAAUAACCGCGUCGAUUGACGUUACCCGCAGAAGAAGCACCGGCUAACUCCGUGCCAGCAGCCGCGGUAAUACGGAGGGUGCAAGCGUUAAUCGGAAUUACUGGGCGUAAAGCGCACGCAGGCGGUCUGUUAAGUCAGAUGUGAAAUCCCCGGGCUUAACCUGGGAACUGCAUUUUGAACUGGCAGGCUUGAGUCUCGUAGAGGGGGUAGAAUUCCAGGUGUAGCGGUGAAAUGCGUAGAGAUCUGGAGGAAUACCGGUGGCGAAGGCGGCCCCUGGGACGAAGACUGACGCUCAGGGUGCGAAAGCGUGGGGAGCAAACGAGGAUUAGGAUACC
rnacentral:rRNA from 1 species